CCCUUAGAUGUCCUGGGCCGCACGCGCGCUACACUGAUGCAUGCAACAAGUUUAUAACCUUGGCCUGAAAGGUCUGGGUAAUCUUUUGAACGUGCAUCGUGAUAGGGAUAGAUUAUUGCAAUUGUUAAUCUUGAACGAGGAAUUCCUAGUAAACGCGAGUCAUCAGCUCGCAUUGAUUACGUCCCUGCCCUUUGUACACACCGCCCGUCGCACCUACCGAUUGAAUGGUUCGGUGAAGAUCUCGGACUUCGAUAUUUAUUCUUUAUUGAGUUUAUAUUGUGGGAAGUUAUCUAAACCUCAUCAUUUAGAGGAAGGUGAAGUCGUAACA
rnacentral:rRNA from 1 species